CGUAGGGUGCGAGCGUUAAUCGGAAUUACUGGGCGUAAAGCGGGCGCAGGCGGUUAUAUAAGACAGAUGUGAAAUCCCCGGGCUCAACCUGGGAACUGCAUUUGUGACUGUAUAGCUAGAGUACGGCAGAGGGGGAUGGAAUUCCGCGUGUAGCAGUGAAAUGCGUAGAUAUGCGGAGGAACACCGAUGGCGAAGGCAAUCCCCUGGGCCUGUACUGACGCUCAUGCACGAAAGCGUGGGGAGCAAACAGGAUUAGAUACCCUGGUAGUCCACGCCCUAAACGAUGUCAACUGGUUGUUGGGUCUUCACUGACUCAGUAACGAAGCUAACGCGUGAAGUUGACCGCCUGGGGAGUACGGCCGCAAGGUUG
rnacentral:rRNA from 1 species